rnacentral:rRNA from 2 species
UACAGAGGGUGCAAGCGUUGUUCGGAAUUACUGGGCGUAAAGCGCGUGUAGGCGGCUUAAUAAGUCGGACGUGAAAUCCCUAGGCUCAACCUGGGAACUGCGUCCGAUACUGCUAGGCUUGAGUAUCGGAGGGGGUGGCGGAAUUCCUGGUGUAGAGGUGAAAUUCGUAGAUAUCAGGAGGAACACCUGUGGCGAAGGCGGCCACCUGGAAGAUUACUGACGCUGAGACGCGAAAGCGUGGGGAGCAAACAGG